UCCUGCUGCGGGGCUUCCGUCGUUCCAGACGCAUUUGUCUCUCGUCCGAAGGACGCUGCAGCCGGUUUGGAAGUGCAAGCGCGGCGGCCUGAAGGUCGGGUAAUGGCAGGUGGCCGGCGGCUCGCCUCGUGCGGGUUGUCGGUUGUUAGCCGUCCCGUCAGUGGCUCGUCUCCAGACCGAGGUGUCGCGAGUCCCGUAAGGGACUCUUCGUCUCCACCCCUGAGUUGCGGGACUGGUCGUGGCAAGGGCUCCGUAUUCCCACCGUCGCACUACUAAGGAGUGGGCGGAGGGCUGCGGGUCCCCGUUGGCUGCGACGGACCCGUCGGGGACUUGAGGCUUGCAGCGAGUAGGUCGGUCACCCACCCGACCCGUCUUGAAACACGGACCAAGGAGUCUAACAUGUGCGCGAGUCAAUGGGUCUUGACUAGGCCCAGGGGCGCAAUGAAAGCGAAGGAUUGCCUAGCGCAGUCUGAGUGGGGAUCCCUCUCUCUCGGGAGGGGGCGCACCCACGACCCGUCCUAUCCGGCUCGCCGGUUGGGCGGAGUCUGAGCGUACACGUUGGGACCCGAAAGAUGGUGAACUAUGCCCGGACAGGACGAGGCCAGAGGAAACUCUGGUGGAGGUCCGC
rnacentral:rRNA from 3 species